UAAAAUAUGGAUCUGGAUAACCUAUCCUGGUCUCUGACGUCAGGACGUAAUGGCUCACGUAGUAAAAUGUGGAGAGGUCGGUCGGUCUAAUACUAUUUUAACGUCUCCCGAGUUGAUGACGGGAUCUGGGAGCCGCGAUUCGAGGGUGAGUCGAGAUGUGGAACAACCUCACGUUACCAGCGAAGAGGAUCCGCGAUUUUAAUGAGAACAAAAAUCCCACUCCGGCACGGUAUCGCGUUGGAAAUGAGCAGAGACGUAUCUGCUUAACCCCACGCAAGACAACGUGACCCAAAACCUAGUUUGCAAUACCCGUCUCGCAGUUGCUCUCUCGACCACAGACGCGUCUGAACUGUGUUCCCGGCACCUUGCUUCGGAUUCAGGGGGGGGGCAGGAAUUCUUCAGUUUUUUACCAUGUUUCGCUCUAUUCUCUCUCUUUUGAUUUCCGUAUCCCCCCCCCCACACACACACCCCACCCCCACUGCGCUUGAGGCUUGAGCCGCAUUACUGUAAAGGCAAACCGACAGCUCCGCUCGGUGAUCUGCUGGUGCCCCGUGUCUCCAUCGCUCCGGAGAGGAGUUCGCGCGAGUGCCACUCGCGUCGGGAGGGAUGCAGAGGUUUGGGAAGAGUCUCGCCCCUUCUCCGUCCUCGCGACGGCGCUGCACCGGGGCACGGACGGUCCCCAGCGCGAGUCCCCCGGAGCGGGUGCGCCGCGCCUGCAGAAACACCGGCGUUUCGCGCAACGCAGAGCUGUAAAAGUUCAGGCGAGGACCGGAGGAGGAGAGGAGAUCCAGCUGCCCAUUGACUGUUAUUUUGCGAAAAUAUAUAUUUUUUUUUUUUUAAAAAAGCGGCGAGCCGAGCAGGAGGGGGAAGGAAAGUUUGGAUGUGUUUUCUGAAAUAAAACAAAAAGAAAAUCUUUAAAAAUCCGGGAGAGGGCUGUUCGGGGGGAAGGGGUUUUUACCGUAACUGGCAAUGUGUGUUAAGCAAAGAUACAAGACUCUAUAGGUGAAAGCGUUCAUAUUUGCGUGUUGAAUGAUUUUUUUUUUGCAAAUGGGGGCUGGUCCCGAAUGCGUUUUUUUUUCCCGUCUUGCGAGAAAUAAUAGGUUUCAACCCCCCCCUGCCUCUCACCCACCCCCUCUUUUUAACCUUGUUUAUGCCGUCCAAAACGCCUGGAAAAAAAAAAGAGAUACAAGGCGUAACUAAAAAAAAAAAGAUCACGCAGAGUUGGAACAAUAGACACCAAUUCACAAUGGACAAUGAAUUGGAGAGCCGAAACUGUUUGGGUUUCUGCGCACGUUUGCUACAGCCUGGCCAGCGAGAGGAGUAACAACGGACUUCCAUAGACUCCGGUCUCCGGGUCUGUGAGAAAAUUCGGGCUGGUGGGGACGCGAACGGCACCGCGGCGAAACGGUCGUGGCUCGUCAACUUUAUCUCGACUCAGCUCACGCGGGCUCAAGUGAUCGCGGCGUUUGAGUGAAAUGCCCUGGGCGGCGUGGAACCGAAGAACUCGGCUUCUUUCAAAGUAGUGCCUCUCCGAAAGAGAAGGUCCGCUUUUUGGUUUUGUUUCCCCCCUCCCCGCUUUUUACCGGCUUCCUCGUCUCUGAUUCACUUUCGGUUUGUUUUACAGGUCUCGGUUCUUUGUCGUAUUUUUAUAAAUCGUUUUCGCUAUUUUUUUUUUUUAAACCUUGUUGCCGAAGCAGGACUCCGGGUGCCUUACCAUUCUGGAUUAUCUCAAAAAGGCCUCGCCGUGGGGCGCGUGUGAGCAGGCUGGACCUUCCUGCGGGCGUCACGGCGGCGGGCGCAGGGCAGAGUGCCGAACCAGCGGUCUCCCAGCCAAGCACUGUGCUGCCUCAGCCAGGCUAUAGAGCACCUGCUGGGGUCCCUGUACCCUGGACACUUCUCUGCCACGGCGCAGUGAGGAGGAGGAGGACGAAGCCAAGCUUCAGAGCUUCAGAUGAACUCGGGAGCAGCGCACAGCUGUUUGUUGCCACAGGCGCCCUCUCCAUCUCCCCGUCUCUGUGAGGAUCCGGGGCCAGCCAGGAAGCGGCGGAGUGGGCAGCCGAGGCAGGCUACCGUACCCACUGGCGUCCCGCCUCUACAAGCAGGCAGCAACCGCGGGAGAAAUCAAUACGGAGGAGGGCGGCUGGGGGUCGCUCCACACAGCCCCUGGGCAGAGAGCCCAGGGAGUCCUCUGCACAUCUCCCUGGCUCUCGGAGUGCUUGGGCUGGAGCCGUGGCAGCUGCAUCAGGCGGGGGCUCAACCCUGAACCGCUGUGCGCGUGUGUCUGCGUUGAUAUAUGUGUGUGUGUGUGGUUUUGCCGAAGGGCCUUUACUCUCCAAGACCACUUGCUAAAAGUUUGCCAGAAACAAAGAAGAAAACCAAAGGUCUUUUUUUUUUUUUUUCCUUAUCACAUCUUCUGUGCUCUCCUUGGACUGAAUCAUCCAGAAUUCAUUGGAGAGGCUUCUGUAAUGCAGCACUGAAGUAACAGUGUUUUUGCUUCAGUGAUACGCUGAGCCUGACCUGUAACUGAAGAACGUGCCUGAAGACUCUCUGGAACGUUGUCUUCCACUGUUUUUCACCCCCCAGACAUUCACCUAAUUCUCCCUAAAAGGCUUCUGUGUACCUCGGAGGCCUAAAAGCCAUGUGCCUGAAAAGAAACAGGGAUUUUCCAAAUGGAAAUGCAGGCAUUAACAAGUUUCUGAAUAAGGCAGGGAAACAUCCAUAUGCAGUAUGUCUGAUGGGGGUUUUAUUCCCCAAUUUUUUCAAGAGCAAUAUGUGUAAAAUUCACAGGAUGUGGCAUUUCCAGAGCAGUGAGGCGCAAAGCAGAGAAUGUUCGUCUCUAGGCCCUGAUGUACUCCUGUGCUCCACCCUUCCAGCUCUGGAACAUUAGUGGAGACAUGGCAUCUCCCGAAAAUCGCAUGGAUCCUGCAGAGUUUAACAGUAAGCAUUGAUAUUCACACUUCCUGGCUUCUGUAAAAGUACGCAGAGACUCAUUGCACUUUGGAAUCUGAUCUGGCCCUGUCACUUGAGACUACUCAGAAUAAACGAGGUGCCAAUGCACAUCACUUCCAGCUUUCCUAAACUUCCCAGGUCUCUGUUAACUCCAGGAUGUCACAGGCUGAAGUCUGGGGGAAGUCAGUUUGCUGCUGUGUAGUCAGUCUCAGCAGGAGCAAGUGCAGUCAGUGCCAAAAAGCUCAGGAGAAGUAAAAACUGUGCUUGAACUGUGCAUCUUGCUCCAAAAAGACUCAAAAAACUCAUCUGACUGGUGCAGGCACAGCAUGGACCUUUCCUUUCUUUUCCUUAUGAGAUCUGUGGUCCCUUGAGCCACCUUCAUCUCAAGACUUUACAGACAGUGCAGGAAAAAAAUCCAAGUGUGGAAGGAAAUUCACGGUCCAUCAAAACUUAAUCUAAACCAAUCAAACUUCAGGACGGGUGGAGUGCAGGUCUGGGCUCCAUGAUCCAGUAUUGGUCUCUGUAGGCCACCUGGGAAAAGCAUCUUGGCCAGUGUGUCCUAAGAGCGCCUGCCCCGUGACAGCAGCAGACUUCUUCCUGGAAGGGGUGGAUAGAACCCUAAUUUCAAGGCGCAGCUCACGACCGAAACACAGCGUCAAUGGUUGGUAGUUGGGUGAUGGCUCGUCCCAGCGCAGAAGUUGUCUCCGACAGCCUGAGAGAGCUCCGACUCUGUCUCACCCCUGCUUUGGGCUGAGCCACUGCUGGCCAGUGACCCCAGGCUGGCCUUUCUCUCCUGACCGUUUGCAAGGUGUGGAUCAGACAUCCUUGUCACGCCAAGGUCAAGAAGGUCCUGAAAACUGCAGGUUAGCGCACAGCUCUGGCCCUCGAAAUGCAUGUGUACAAUUAGGAGGGCCUGUCUAACGGCGGCUGAGUGUUAAAGGAGUGGACUUACACACCAAUACAGGUAAGACAGGAAACUGGAUUAUCUGCAAGCUGUCUUCCUGACGUGUCUGUACAAUUAUACUUCUUUGGCCAGAGAGAUUAGAUUUUUCUUUUUUACUUGAAAAAAGUAAAUAAUAAUUAUUUCGAUCAUGAUUGAUCAAUCACUUAUGAGUCUUGGAACUGUGCCAUUGGGGGACUAGCAGAGUUUUACCUUAAUGGGCAAGUGACCAAACUCUGUUACUAGUACAAGGAUACUGGGAAAAAGCAGUGUAACAGCAAAGUAAACCAGUCUCUCACUUGGAUAUAGUGACCUCUGACACUUUAAGGGAAUCUCCACCCAGCAUUAAGGGGCUUAGUAAUUUCAGUGCAGGAAAAGACAUAGUCUUCCCUUGUCUGUUUCUGAGGAGUCUUUUAAAUCUGGUCUCCAAGAUGCGAUAAUUGUGGGUAGUUGGGGUAGCCACAUUGCUGCUGUACUGUAAUGCUUGUCAGGACACACUCUGCUACUGGCUUCAGAAAUUAAAGGUAAGUAAUUGUUUAUUGUUAUUAUUGCCAAGUCAUACUUCAGGCCAUUGAUAGAGCUACAUCUAAGAAGAUCCAUCAAUAAAUAAAAGGGUGUUUAUUGAAUGCACCCUAUUAUAAAUGUGUCUGUAGAGGUGGGUGCCUGACUGCCUGCAUUAGCAUUUGUGUGACGUGUGCUGUCAUCUGACUCAAAAUUAAUGUAAUGCUGCAUGACCUGCAUUUUUUCCUAAAUAUUAUUUUUGCACAUUUAAAUAUGCUUGUAUUUUAUCAAUAAAAAUAAAAAAUUAAAUACAAA